AGCCGUCCAGCGGCGUCGACCACCGCAGUUGCUGCUGGAUGUAGCCGGAGGAGCUGAGGCGGGAUGCCCUGCUGAUGGUCGCCGCCGUCCGCGGGAUGCACUAGUAGCACGAUGCAGCCGGUGGUAACAGCCUGAGGCGAGGGCGGCAGCAAGGACGGGAGCCGGCGGGUUCUUCAGGACUGAUGGCUUGCCCUGCUCGGAUGACGCCGCCAGGGACGACAAGGACGGCGAUGGCUGCCUGCUAGGAAGACGCUGAUGGGUAUAUCACACAAUCUGUGACACGAGUUCCGCAGCGGCGGAUGUGGCGGGCUGCUCAUAUUGCUAUAGAGGCCGCCGGCACCGACGGCGCCCAGCUGCUCCAUGGCUACGACCAGGACUUCCUGGACCAUUAGAUGUCCAGGA